UCGUUUGAUGGCCCUGGAUGGGUUUGAAUUCAGUCCACGUUUUUUAAUUUUAUUCGUGACUAGAUCCACACUCAUCCAAGGAAAUCGAGC
rnacentral:pre_miRNA from 1 species